rnacentral:rRNA from 1 species
GAUGAACGCUGGCGGUGUGCCUAAUACAUGCAAGUCGAGCGAACAGACGAGGAGCUUACUCCUCUGACGUUAGCGGCGGACGGGUGAGUAACACGUGGAUAACCUACCUAUAAGACUGGGAUAACUUCGGGAAACCGGAGCUAAUACCGGAUAACAUGUUGAACCGCAUGGUUCAACAGUGAAAGACGGUCUUGCUGUCACUUAUAGAUGGAUCCGCGUCGCAUUAGCUAGUUGGUAAGGUAACGGCUUACCAAGGCAACGAUGCGUAGCCGACCUGAGAGGGUGAUCGGCCACACUGGAAGUGAGACACGGUCCAGACUCCUACGGGAGGCAGCAGUAGGGAAUCGUCCGCAAUGGGCGAAAGCCUGACGGAGCAACGCCGCGUGAGUGAAGAAGGUCUUCGGAUCGUAAAACUCUGUUAUUAGGGAAGAACAAAUGUGUAAGUAACUAUGCACGUCUUGACGGUACCGAAUCAGAAAGCAACGGCUAACUACGUG